rnacentral:tRNA from 1 species
GAGGAACUGUGGCUCAGUGGAAUAGCACUUGCUGGGCACGCAGAAGCUCCCAGGUUCAAUUCCCAGCAUCCUCA